rnacentral:rRNA from 1 species
AGUGAACGUUGGCGGCGUGGAUUAGGCAUGCAAGUCGUGCGGUAAGGCCCCGCAAGGGGCACACGAGCGGCGAAAGGGAGAGUAACGCGUGGAUUAUCUACCCCCGGGAUCGGGACAGCCGCGGGAAACUGCGGUUAAUACCGAAUAAUGUCUCCGGACCAAAGGUGUGAUUCCGCCUGGGGAUGAGUCCGCGUCCUAUUAGCUUGUUGGUGAGGUAACGGCUCACCAAGGCCACGAUGGGUACGAGGUGUGAGAGCAUGACCUCGCUCACUGGGACUGAGACACUGCCCAGACACCUACGGGUGGCUGCAGUCGAGAAUCUUCGGCAAUGGGCGCAAGCCUGACCGAGCGACGCCGCGUGCGGGAUGAAGGCCUUCGGGUUGUAAACCGCUGUCGGAGGGGAGGAAAUGCGCGGGGGUUCUCCCUCGCGUUUGACCUAGCCUCAAAGGAAGGACGGGCUAAGUUCGUGCCAGCCGCCGCGGUAACAC